GACGAACGCUGGCGGCGUGCCUAAUACAUGCAAGUCGAACGCUUCUUUCCUCCCUAGUGCUUGCACUCAAUUGGAAAGAGGGGUGGCGGACGGUUGAGUAACACGUGGGUAACCUACCCAUCAGAGGGGGAUAACACGUGGAAACAGGUGCUAAUACCGCAUAACAGUUUAUGCCGCAUGGCAUAAGAGUGAAAGGCGCUGUCGUGUGUCGCUGAGGGAUGACCCGCGGUGCAGUAGCUAGUUGGGGAGGUAACGGCUCACCAAGGCUACGAUGCAUAGCGGACCCGAGAGGGUGAUUGGCCAGCCUGGGAGUGAGACAGGGCCCAGACUCCUACGGGAGGAAGCAGUCGGGACUCUUCGGCAAUGGACGAAAGUCUGACCGAGCAGAGCCGCGUGAGUGCAGAAGGUGUUCGGCUCGUAAAACUCUGUUGUUAGUGAAGAACAAGGACGUUAGUAACUGAGCGUACCCUGACGGUAUCUACAGAGAAAGCCACGGCUAACUACGUG
rnacentral:rRNA from 1 species